rnacentral:lncRNA from 1 species
UAACUUGCAACUUCUAAGGGCUUUUAUAUUUUUGUAAGAUCCAUUAAACAAGAGAAUGGACCGAAAAAAAAAUUUUAUUUAAAAAAAAAGGGUAAUAUGUUUGGGAUUCUUUACUUCACUUUUGUGAGAGGAAAUAUAAAAAUGAAAAAAAAAAAAAAAAAGGGAAAAAAUAAAAACAGAGAAUCAAUUUCUGAUUUUAUUAGGUUCAUCCUUAGAUCAAUACAAAAAUUUAGAAAUGAUCUAAAUAAUCAUUCUAAAUUAAUCCCAGCUUAUUUACUAACUUUAACAAAAGGAACUAUUCCAUAUUUACUAACUUUAACAAAAGGAACUAUUAGUGCCUCAAUAUGAAACCCGUUAUCACUAUAAUGCCACCCAUGUUUUGUUGAUAUGAUGUUGAGAAGAUUGCCAUAUACCUAUGUGAUGUUGAGAAGAUCGCUAUAUACCUAUGUGAUAUUGAGAAGAUCACUAUAGACCUAUUCUGUUAAAUGAAUUGGCAAGAUAAUAUCCCUAUAAUGAUAGAUUAGGACUAGCAUUAGUUUGUUAACUAUCCAUAUAUGAUUUUUAAUUUUUUUUACAUUGGUAAAAUGCAGUCUCAUGAAGCAGUGAGAGGAAAAACCAUUUGGACUUAUGGUUUUAUCGAGGG